rnacentral:snoRNA from 26 species
GAGGAGGCCCGUAGCCACGGCAUGCCUUUUUGGUGGUGCGUUGUGGGUGGUGGCUUUCCAAGA